rnacentral:rRNA from 1 species
AACGAACGCUGGCGGCAUGCCUAACACAUGCAAGUCGAACGAGACCUUCGUGUCUAUUUGCGCACUGGUUCUUAACGCGUUGUAACCUUCCCUUAUGUUCGGUAUAACUCCCCUUAAGGUGUGCUAAUACCGGUUAAUUUCUUCUGACCAAAGAUUUAUCGCCUUUGGAUGGGCCCGCGUUUGAUUAGCUUGUUGGUAGGGUAAAAGCAUACCAAGGCGACGAUCCAUAGCUGGUCUGAGAGGAUGAUCAGCCACACUGGGACUGAGACACGGCCCAGACUAGUACGGGAGGGAGCAGUGGGGAAUAUAGGAAAAGGGGCGAAAGCAUGAAAAAGCAAUGAGGGGUGAGUGAUGAAGGCAUUAGGGAUGUAAAGCGCUUGUAAACGGGAAGAUAACGACAGUAACGGGAGAAUAAGCAACGGCUAACUACGUG